CCUACGGGAGGCUGCAGUGGGGAAUAUUGGGCAAUGGGCGCAAGCCUGACCCAGCAACGCCGCGUGAAGGAUGACGGCUCUCGGGUUGUAAACUUCUUUUCUCAGGGACGAAGAAAGUGACGGUACCUGAGGAAUAAGCCACGGCUAACUACGUGCAAGCGGCCGCGGGAAUCCGUCGGUGGCAAGCGUUAUCCGGAUUUACUGGGUGUACAGGGCGUGUAGGUGGGAAAGCAAGUCAGAUGUGAAAAUCAGGGGCUCAACCUUUGGCUUGCAUUUGAAACUGGUUUUCUUGAGUACUGGGGAGGCAGACGGAAUUCGUAGUGGAGCGGUGAAAUGCGUAGAUAUUAGGAGGAACACCAGUGGCGAAGGCGGUCUGCUGGACAGCAACUGACGCUGAGGCGCGAAAGUGUGGGUAGCAAACAGGAUUAGAUACCCCUGUAGUC
rnacentral:rRNA from 1 species